rnacentral:rRNA from 1 species
CAGAGGUGCGAGCGUUAAUCGGAUUUACUGGGCGUAAAGCGUGCGUAGGCGGCUUAUUAAGUCGGAUGUGAAAUCCCCGAGCUUAACUUGGGAAUUGCAUUCGAUACUGGUGAGCUAGAGUAUGGGAGAGGAUGGUAGAAUUCCAGGUGUAGCGGUGAAAUGCGUAGAGAUCUGGAGGAAUACCGAUGGCGAAGGCAGCCAUCUGGCCUAAUACUGACGCUGAGGUACGAAAGCAUGGGAGCAAACAGGAUU